UACGUAGGGGGCAAGCGUUGUCCGGAAUCAUUGGGCGUAAAGAGCGUGUAGGCGGCCAGAUAAGUCCGCUGUGAAAUCUCGAGGCUCAACUUCGAGCUGUCGGUGGAAACUGUCUGGCUAGAGUCCGGAAGAGGAGAAUGGAAUUCCUGGUGUAGCGGUGAAAUGCGCAGAUAUCAGGAGAACACCCGUGGCGAAGGCGGUUCUCUGGGACGGUACUGACGCUGAGACGCGAAAGCGUGGGGAGCGAACAGG
rnacentral:rRNA from 1 species